AUAGAAUUAUUGCUGCGGUUAAAAAGCUCGUAGUUGGAUCUGUGCUAGCCGGCCGGUGCACACUUUGUGUGUUACUGGUUUGGUUGGCUUUUCUGCUGGUCUCUCCCCGGCGUUGGCCUUUAUUGGUUGGCGUCGGUGGGCUAGCGAGUUUACUUUGAACAAAUCAGAGUGCUUCAAACAGGCGUUUCGCUUGAAUGUUCGUGCAUGGAAUAAUAGAAGAGGAUUUCGGUCCGAUUUUAUUGGUUUUGCUGACCGAGAUAAUGGUUAACAGAGACAAACGGGGCCAUUCGUAUUGCUACGUGAGAGGUGAAAUUCUUGGACCGUAGCAAGACGGACUACAG
rnacentral:rRNA from 1 species